GACGAACGCUGGCGGCGUGCUUAACACAUGCAAGUCGAACGGAAAGGCCCUGCUUUUGUGGUGUGCUCGAGUGGCGAACGGGUGAGUAACACGUGAGUAACCUGCUCUUGACUUUGGGAUAACUUCAGGAAACUGGGGCUAAUACCGGAUAGGAGUUCCUGCUGCAUGGUGGGGGUUGGAAAGUUUCGGCGGUUGGGGAUGGACUCGCGGCUUAUCAGCUUGUUGGUGGGGUAGUGGCUUACCAAGGCGUUGACGGGUAGCCGGCCUGAGAGGGUGACCGGCCACAUUGGGACUGAGAUACGGCCCAGACUCCUACGGGAGGCAGCAGUGGGGAAUAUUGCACAAUGGGCGGAAGCCUGAUGCAGCGACGCCGCGUGCGGGAUGACGGCCUUCGGGUUGUAAACCGCUUUCGCCUGUGACGAAGCGUGAGUGACGGUAAUGGGUAAAGAAGCACCGGCUAACUACGUG
rnacentral:rRNA from 1 species